UCUAAUUUAAGUGCUUAAAUUAAAUUACACAGAUGUUAAUUUAAUAAUUAUCCAUCCAUCCAUCCAUUUUCCAAACCGCUUAUCCUAUUGGGUCGCGGGGGGUCCGGAGCCUAAUUUAAUAAUUAUUUCAAAUAUUAAUAUCCAUCCAUCCAUCCAUUUUCCAAACCGCUUAUCCUAUUGGGUCGCGGGGGGUCCGGAGCCUAAUUUAAUAAUUAUUUCAAAUAUUAAUAUAAAUUGUUAAAAUGCAAAAUACUAGAAGUUCAUGUUAAAAAUGGACUAUUUACAAAACAACUGCUGUAAUGUGUUAUCGAUUUGAUCUUUAACUAAUGUAAUGUAAGCAAAUGGGAAAUGUGUCUCUAUAUCAUUAUGCUGAAAUCUAUCUCUUUGUUACAGGCUUUCAGAAGCUGCUGGAUCCUCUUCACUCUGGCUUGCUGAUAGUUUUAUCUUGCAGCAUUAUUCUGAACGUUGCUCUCAUUUGUAUAAGAUGUAAACUGACCUGUACACACUGUGCAGAUGAAAAGAACAGUGAUAUAUCAAAAGUGGAAUGGUCACGCAAGCAAUGCCAUGACGAGGACACACUGAAUUACGCUGCCCUGAACCUUAAGAAGCCAAAACCCAGGAGACAGAAGAAAGACGGGAAUAAUGACACUCUGUAUUCUGACCUCCGCUACAGAGAUUAUGAAUAAAGAUGCUUCUCAUUCAUGUCAGUCACACAGAGUGUUCAGGGUGUAGCUUUAAUAAUGUUCAGAGGAGGGCAGGGGAGCCAGUGCUUCUGAGACUGAAUCACGGGAUUUUACGGAGCACCGGUGCUGAGUUUGGUGUCAGU